AAAUACUGUAGGCAUAAGUUUUCGUAUCUAAUUUUAAUCAUUAUUUUUUAUGACUUAGCUAAUUUUUAUUGUUAUUAGCUGAUAAAGCAUUAAUAAUACUUUUAUGCGUGACUUAUGUUUUUAAGUUUUUUCAAUUUUUAGAAUAAGAUAAUGAUUAAAAUUUAACAUAGAAAUUAAUGACUGGACUUAAA
rnacentral:pre_miRNA from 1 species